ensembl:lncRNA
GGGAGGAGGGGCCAAAAGCACAACACAGGGGAGGGCGGGGCUAAAAGCACAACAGAACCACAUGGCACAAGAAAAAAAGGGCGGGCAAUACCCAAAGUGUCCAGCAGGGCGGGCAAUACCCAAAGUGUCCAGCAGGGCGGCCAAGAGGCACAUUCCAGACGGAGGACUGACAGCUCUUAAGCCCAAUUUAUGGCUGUCCGUUUACGGAGACAGGGAGCGCCUAUUCGGCCUUUAUCCUGGAACCCAAGUAGGCACGGAUCCGGAGUAGCCCACUGGCAGUCUUCACUUCCUGUUCAGUCCAGACGGAGUAGUCUUCACUUCCUGUUCAGUCCGGACGGAGUAGCCCACUGACAUCACUUCCUUAGCAGUCUUCACUUCCUGUUCCCAUGUGUCUUUGGGUCACAUGUCUGCCCAAGGCUUGCUUGUAAACAACACUGUAGGCUACAUGUCAGUCAGACACACAGCGUCAGGUGCUGUCGGCAUGGAGACAAAAGACACACAGCGCCAGGUGCUGUCGGCAUGGAGACAAAAGACACUAAAUCAGAAUGCCAUUCCCCAAUCUGCUCCUGGCGGUCGGCUGCCCCUCGUGCAAGGCACUUGUGUUUAUGUAUUUGUUUGUGUUUAUGUAUUUAUUUUCCCCUCAGGGCAAGGCACUUGUGAUU